UAAGGAAUAUUGGUCAAUGGACGCAAGUCUGAACCAGCCAUGCCGCGUGCAGGAAGACGGCCCUACGGGUUGUAAACUGCUUUUGUACCGGAAUAAACCUUUUCACGUGUGAGAAGCUGAAUGUACGGUAAGAAUAAGGAUCGGCUAACUCCGUGCCAGCAGCCGCGGUAAUACGGAGGAUCCAAGCGUUAUCCGGAUUUAUUGGGUUUAAAGGGUGCGUAGGUGGCCUGGUAAGUCAGGGGUGAAAGACGGCAGCUUAACUGUCGCAGUGCCUUUGAUACUGCCGGGCUUGAAUACAGUUGAAGUGGGCGGAAUGUGACAAGUAGCGGUGAAAUGCAUAGAUAUGUCACAGAACACCGAUCGCGAAGGCAGCUCACUAAAGUGUGAUUGACACUGAGGC
rnacentral:rRNA from 1 species